ensembl:ncRNA F14F3.8 ncRNA
ACAGAAUUUCAACAUUAGGCGGAAUUGAAGUGAAACGGAGCGCAAAGCUAGGAAGAACAUUAGCUCAUCGAACCGAAUGUAUAUUGCGCGUGUUUCUUCUCAGUCUUUUUCGGUGUAAAUUUACUAGCGACACUCGCUCUCCCUUCACCAUACACAUAUUCCUGGCUCUUCUGUUAACAUUAAAUGAUGGCACCAAUGUUAAGGUAUGUUUCAAAAGCACUUGGCAUCCCCAUCAGUCUUCAGAAGCCCUGACUAGCCACUGACCAUCGUGCGAGAGGCGGGGCAUUGGACUACGGUGCGCAUGACGUAUGAACCAAUAGUAGAAGGCGUGCGAUUGAAUGACACACACAUACACCGAUUGCAAAGCACUUUCUAUGGUUAAACUACCUUUUGAUCCGGGCUUCUUCGUAAUAUUAAUUUAAUAAACU